rnacentral:rRNA from 1 species
AGCGCAGGCGGGAAGACAAGUUGGAAGUGAAAACCAUGGGCUCAACCCAUGAAUUGCUUUCAAAACUGUUUUUCUUGAGUAGUGCAGAGGUAGAUGGAAUUCCCGGUGUAGCGGUGGAAUGCGUAGAUAUCGGGAGGAACACCAGUGGCGAAGGCGGUCUACUGGGCACCAACUGACGCUGAGGCUCGAAAGCGUGGGGAGCAAACA